GAGGGGCCCGCAGAGCGGCCCUGGGCCUCGGCUUGUUUGUCGGCGCCGCCGCGCGCCCCGAGCGCCCUGCGGUGGUGACAGCGACCUUCUGGGUUUCCUGGGCGUCCGCCGGGGACACCCCGCGCCCCGCUCUUUUGUCUCGGCCUCGCCCCCAGCGGGCCGCCCUGCAGCGACCCUCCUCGGGAUUUGCCUCUGAGCCAGGACCUGGAACCACCCCUCAGAGCCGGCGUGCGCCCCAGAAGACAGCACCCCGCUCCCGGCCGCGUGGGCCUGGGGCCGGAGACGCGCCAGGAGCGGCCUCUGUCCAAAGCGCCGGGUUCUGUGGCCGGAGCCCGUGGUCCGUGAGACGUAAAUGGCUCGCCUGCCCCCCGGCAUCCACUUCAUCGCCUCCUUCUCCCGGGACCAGUGGUACAGAGCCUUCACCUUCGUGCUGACCUUCCUGCUGUACGCCAGUUUCCACCUGUCGCGGAAGCCCAUCAGCAUCGUGAAGGU